UACGGAGGAUGCGAGCGUUAUCCGGAUUUAUUGGGUUUAAAGGGUGCGCAGGCGGCGUGUCAAGUCAGCGGUAAAAUGUCGGGGCUCAACCCCGGCCGGCCGUUGAAACUGGCGUGCUCGAGUUGGAGAGAAGUAUGCGGGAUUCGUGGUGUAGCGGUGAAAUGCAUAGAUAUCACGAAGAACCCCGAUUGCGAAGGCAGCAUACCGGCUCCACACUGACGCUGAGGCACGAAAGCGUGGGUAUCGAACAGG
rnacentral:rRNA from 1 species